CAUGGGAAAUAAAUGUAUAAAUUCCUCAAAGUGGUAAUAAAGAUCAACAAUAAAUUGGAAAAUUGAAAUGGCAGUAUGUACAUAAAAUGGAAUACUACACAAUGAUAAAAAUUAAAUAACUAUAGAUAUAUACAACAAUAUGGCUGAAUCUUACUAAGAUAAUAUUGACUGAAAUAAGCCAAACACUAAGAAUAUAUUGACUGAUUUACACAAUACUCAAUACACAAUACUCAAGCUAUCCCAUUAGGAACAGGAACCAGACAAGGAUUUUCAUUUUUGUCACUCUUCUUUAACACAAUCUUGGAAGUCUUAGCCAGAGCAAUUGGGCAAGAAAAAAAAUAAAAGAGAUCCACAUGGGAAAGGAAGAAGUGAAACUGCCACUAUUUGCAGAUGACACGAUUUUAUGUAUAGAAAACCCUAAAUAAAUCACCUAUAAAAUUCCAGAAAUAACAACUGAGUACAAUAAAGUUGUAGGAUACAAAAUCAACAUACAAAAAUCACUGUGUUUCUAUACACUAACAAUGAAGUAGCAGAAAAAGAAAUAAAGAUUACAAUCCAUUUUCAAUUGCAACAAAAGAAUAAAAUACCUAGGAAUAAACUUAAGCAAAGAGGUGAAAGCCAAAGCCCUGUACACUGAAAACUAUAAAACGUUGUUGAAAGAAACUGAAGAAAAAACAGAAAUGGAAAAAUAUUCUGUGCUCAUGGAUUGGAAGAAUUAGCAUCAUUAAAAUGUCCAUACUUCCUAAAGCAAUCUACAGAUUCAAUGCAAUCUCUAUCAAAGUUCUGAUGACAUUUUUCAUAGAAAUCAAAUAAAGAACCCUAAAAUUUAUAUGAAACAACAACAAUCCUAAAUAGCUAAAGGAAUCCUGAGACAAAAGAACAAAGCUGGAGAUAUCACACCCCCUGGUUUCAAAAUAUACUACAAAGCUAUAGUGAUCAGAACAGCAUGAUACUGGCACAAAAACAGACACAGAACAAUGGAGCAGAAUCCAGAGCCCACAAAUAAACCCACACAUCUAUGGAUAGCUAAUUUUCAACAAGGAAGCCAAGAACGUACAAUGGAGAAAGGAAUGUCUCUUCGAUAAAUGGUGUGGGAAAUACUGGACAGCUACAUUCAAAAGAAUGAAAGUAG
rnacentral:lncRNA from 1 species